UUGGUCUCAAACUCCUGGUCUCAAGCGAUUCUCCCGCCGAAGCCACAGGAGGAGCUAGUAUUUACAGGCGCGCACAACCGAGCCCAGAAUCGUACGGGGGCACGAUUUUUAAAUUUUUUUGUUUUGAAAUACAGGGUCUCGCUCUGUCGCCCAGGCUGGAGUGCAGUGGCUGGAGUGCAGUGGCGUUAUCAUAGUUCACUAUAACCCACAUCCUGCAUCGUCCUGAGGCACACUUCUUAAGGGAAAAACAUAGAGGUCCCAAUCGGCCCUGGCUCUUUUUUAUUUGACAUUUAUCAGUAGGGAGCAAAAGGUCAGAAUGAUAGUUCUAGACAAAGAGUAGGAAAUGAGAAGCAGGAGGAGGAGGAUGGGUAACAGAAGUGGGUGAGGAUGGAGGGAAGACGGGAGCUAACCCAAGUCCCCAGCGCCUGCCCAGCACAGUGAACACUGGCACUUCUGCAGAGGGCUUGCAACCUAAGGCGCCAGAGCCCAGCAUAGCUUAGCAGACAUUGCAUGCUCCACAGUCGCGUCUAGCGCCAAAGGAAGGGCCACUUGCAGUGUAAGCCUUCUGGGAUGCACUAAACACCAGGCAGGGUUCUAUGUGUACUCUGACGUGGAGUACCUGGAGCUUUUGCAAGGGGCGUGUUAGGUUUCUUGCAACUUGCACCUGAGCAUCCAGAGUGCUCUGCAAAUCCCAGCCCCAAACUUCUGCUUCCACAGAUCUCCUGGAGAGCGUGGCGCACUCAACUUUCUGGACAUUGCUGCAAAAACCUAGCAUGCAGCCUCUGACUUCAUCAUUUCAUCUUAAUUACGGUCCGAUUCGCGGACUUUGGGUGGGAACAGACCAGAGCUAGAGAGACUCAUCCAUUAGUUACUAACUACCCAGAGGGGAGAGCAGUGCUGGCAGUCCAAAUUGCAAGGUGCGCUGCCUUCAGCGUGCGGCGUCUUCGCCCUGGAGAAGCAUUACGCUGGCCCGCCUGCCUCCAGGGCCACACGGAAACGUGUUCUGCAAACUUUCUCCAAGGGCUCGGGGGCUAGAUUGUGUCUCGCUCCGCUGCCUCUCCCCCUGCCUCAAUUUCGACUCCUGCCAGACAGCUCAGCCCCUCCCUCUGGCAGUCACCCCGCCCGGAGUGGGAGUGGUCAACGAAGCUGCAAAAUGGAUCGCAAGUCCCCACACACGUCCGACCCCUCCCCGCGCCCUGACCACGAACGCAUCCCUGACUUAACCGCCACACUCGGGCCGUGAGCGCCUGCCAGCAGGGCCUUCCGCCACACACACACACACACACACCGCAAGCAGCGGCGACCAGGGCAGGAGCCCACUCCCCGCCACCUGCAGGCGUCGGACCCGAAGUCCACGAGCCGGAACUCAGAGCAGGAGCCGAAGGACCCCAGCGCAGAAUCCGUGGAGGCGCACGGCUUCAUCCACCGCGCUCCCAGAUGGGGUCCCAGCCCAGAUCCGGCCACGAAGACACAGGCAACCCCGGCCUGGGUUUCCUGUUCCAUGAGCUCCAGGAAGGCGACAGUCAGUGCUUGUCUGGGGACCCGGACCGAUGCGAAGGCUGUAGGGACUUUGGUGACUGAAGCUGGAGGAGACGAGGAGAAGAAAAUACGGUCCAAACCCGAGCAGGGAGCUGGAGCAGAAGAAGAAAGUCACUUCUGUGCGGGAGCUGCCGACCCCACGAUCAAGGAUAACCAGAAGCGCGGCGGUGGCGACCAGGAGCCCUCGCAGCAGCAGCCUGAGGCUUCCAGCCCAGGACUCCUCCGCGGAGGAGCCACAACCCCAAUAUUAGCGGCGUCUCUUCAGCCCCAGUGCGUUCAGCAGGUUGCACCUGAAGGAGCUAGACAGCAUUUUCCCACGCUCUGAAUAUCUCGACGUGUUCGCUCGAAAGCAGCUUGCAAUCUGCAUGGAUGUGAGUGAAGCCGAAGUGGAAGCCAGUAAGCCUGAUGAAAGCAAUUGGUCAGAGUAGCCACUCUCUGAAACCUGCCUCAGUCCUUGAAUACCUUUGUCCUACACAUUCUCCAAUUGGCCUGUUUUUGUUGCCUUUUCUAUGUUUGCCAAGUGAGUUUUGAACUUUAGCGGGGGAAUAAUGGGAUACAUAAACCUUAGCCUAUGGAAAUUUCCCAUUACCAGAGGGAAUAUGCUUUCUAAUGCGAAACAGAACUAAACUGUUACUUCUAUUUCCUGUACAAGGUUAAGUGUAAAUAAAGUUCCAUUCCUUCUAACAAUGGUAUCCUUUAGAGAACACUUCUGUGUGGAGUUAUGUUGGGACUGAGUCUGACUUGAGGAGUUUGCAAAUUAAUGCACCAAGGACCCAUAUUGUGAGAAGGUUCAACUGUAUUUAAAAUAUUUAAACCAGGCUAUGUUCUUAGCUAAAUGACCAAAUUUAUAAAUAUUCAGGCAUUGGGAUAAGGGAAUAAGUUACAUACAGAAAGAACACAUUAUAUGAGUAAUUAAUGUAUGUUUAGUUUCACUGAGACUUAUGGGGAGGACAUAGCUUAAAAGUCCAAGUGCCUGGUAGUCCUGCUGUUGUUUUUAAGGGUCUGAUGAAGCCAUGUAGAAAGUGGCAGCCCGCAAUUUUGAUUUUCUCCAAUACUUUUAUUUGUAAGCCGGAAUACACUGCUAAUAUACUUGCAUUACACUGGGGGUGUGGGGGGGCAGGUUUGCAAACAGGAAAUUUGUUUAAAAAUUGGAAUAAAAAAGAACAAUUUUGAAAAAGUUUUCACUUAACUAAGAAGGGUGAAAAGGUUAAAGAAAAAUUGCAUACACUCAAAUAUAUACCUUGAAGGUAUGGCACAAAUGGAGCUCUAUGAGGGAAUAUUCUCUUUAGGAAUUUCUGACAACUAAGAAGUUUUUUUUAUGUUACUGUUUUAAACUGGUGGGUUUUAUGUAAUUUGUUUGGUGGUGGGGUGGGGCACGCUCAAUUUAGACCAGGUUCUUACCUGUGCUAAUUUGAAAUGGUUUUUCAUUUUCCCAGGCAGUGGUGAUUAAUUUGUAAGUCAUGAGAUCAAGAAAUUACUAAGAUUCCUUCAGUAUUAUUGACUGAGUAUAUUUUCAAAACAAAGAGAAAAUCCAGGAUUAGGUUAUGAGCAGUGCUGUGCAGUUCAUGUGAGUGCAGUGAUGGGCCCCCCAUGACUAAGCCUUUUUUUUCAGACCAUCUUUUUCACUCUCAAGAGUUUUCAGAGGAUGAAGUCUGGCCCAGUGGCUCACGCCUGUAAUCCCAGCAAUUUGGGAGGCCAAGGCAGGCAGAUCACGC
rnacentral:lncRNA from 1 species